GAUGAACGCUAGCGGCAGGCCUAAUACAUGCAAGCUGAACGGCAAGAUUUGUAGCAAUACGAGUCCUAGAGUAGCGUAAGGGUGCGUAACACGUAUGCAAUCUGCCCGCAACAGGAGGAUAGCUUAGCGAAAGUUGAGAUAAGACUCCAUAAGAUCACGAGAGGGCAUCUGAUUGUGAUUAAACUACAAGGGGUUGCGGAUGAGCAUGCGUCUGAUUAGUUAGUUGGCGGGGUAACGCCCACAAGACGAUGAUCAGUAGGGGAACUGAGAGGUUGGUCCCCACACU
rnacentral:rRNA from 1 species